UACGAAAAGGUUUGCUGACUCCUGGUGUAGGGGACAGACAACAUAAUUAGAAUGUUUUGUUUCUAAGGUCUAGGGAAAGAGA